rnacentral:lncRNA from 1 species
GGCCUCUGUGUCUCCUGCUCCCAGUUUCCUGCAGCCUCGCAGGGCUCUUCUGGCCUCCAGCAGAGAUGCUUGGCAAGCUUCUUGUCACCACUGAAUCUCUUGAUGCUCUGCCCCUUGGUGGAUGGAGAGAGAAGCUGCUCUUUCUAGGACCCAAGCCUAACAGGCAUUGGAGGAAGGGGCCUGAUAGUUCAUGUACCCUAAGAUUAGCAGAGAGAACAGGUUUAGGGCUGGAUGCUGGAGGGUUCCAGGAGCUCAGAGGGAAUGGUUCAGACAGCAGUGAAUGUCAUACCUAUGAGGCUCUGGGGCAAAUGCUGGCUUCUCUAGGCAAGAAACCCCUAGCACUGGCUUGCUAACAUUCGACAGAAAGUGACUGAAGGUCCCAUCUGCUGGGGACAUGUAACAAGGAUGGCCCACCUGCUGGUGACAGCAUGGGAAGGUGUCACUUUCACGAGUGAGGCAUCUGGAUGUCAGCUUUGAGAUCACCAAGGAGACUGUUCACAUUAUCCUGGGCAUGCCUGACCCAGUCAGAGGAGCUUAUAACAGAAGGCCAGAGUGACCUGACUUGGAAGGUCAUGUGACCCAGGUUCAUGUUACAAACUGAGUUCCAGAGCCUGGCUCAUGGAGAUGCUGAGGUCCUGGAAGCUCUGGGCCUAGGGAGAUGUCUGUGGAAGAUGUUACUUUCAGAACUGCCCACAAUAACUUGGACAACUUGGGCACCCAGUCCCUCACAUGGUAGAAGGCUCGAAGAGUCAUUGCCUUAACCCUUCCGGCACCCAGAAUCCCUGGAACAGCAAGACAGAUUGGCCCCCAAGAUGGAAACAGUUGUUCUCUCUGAUGGAGAGGAGUGCAUGAAACCUUCUCUAAAACUGAUUGCA